rnacentral:rRNA from 1 species
GACGAACGCUGGCGGCGUGCUUACCACAUGCCAGCCGAACGAUCAAGCCGGAGCUUGCUCUGCUGGACUAGUGGCGAACGGGUGAGUAACACGUGAGUCACCUGCCCUUGACCCUGGCCUAAGCGUUGGAAACGACGUCUAAUACCGGAUACGCGCUAGGACCGCAUGGUCACUAGCUGGCAAGAACUUCGGUCAAGGAUGGACUCGCGGCCUAUCAGUUAGUUGGUGAGGUAACGGCUCACCAAGACGACGACGGGUAGCCGGCCUGAGAGGGUGACCGGCCACACUGGGACUGAGACACGGCCCAGACUCCUACGGGAGGCAGCAGUGGGGAAUAUUGCACAAUGGGCGCAAGCCUGAUGCAGCAACGCCGCGUGAGGGACGACGGCCUUCGGGUUGUAAACCUCUUUUAGCAGGGAAGAAGCGAAAGUGACGGUACCUGCAGAAAAAGCACCGGCUAACUACGUGCCAGCCGCCGCCGUAACAC